UUUUUUUUUUUUUGGUAAGAGAUGAAUGAAUAUAAUGAGGUUUUAGUAUAUGUUUAUUAAUUGGUCAAAUCAAAUAUUGGUAUAAUAAUAAUAAUAAUAAUAAUAAUAAUAAUUUAAUAAGAAAAAGGAUAUUUUGUUGGUUGGUGGUGUUAUGGGAAAGAUGGACCUAACCCUUAACUACUUUGGAAAUGAUAUAAUGCACAACAUGGUUUCAACUUUCAAGUCGUUUAGUUGUUGUUAGAUAACUUCCUUUUUUGUGUGUUGGGUGGGGGGGGGGGGGGGGGGGGGGGGGGGGGGGGGGGGAGGGGGGGAUGAGAUUCGAUACUUCACGACAAGGGAAGGAGAGAGGGUUCCGAACCAACUGAGCAACUCUCGAUCAAAUAUCAAAUUGUUAGAGUUUAACUUAUUAUACCUAUAUAGUGAUUGUGUAAAAGAAUUUUUAUAUUAUUAAGAAGUUAUUUAUAAAAAGUGGUACUAACGAUCAAUUCUUAUUGAUUCUACUUUAAUGAAUUCAUUUUCUCGAAGGAUAAAAAAAAUUGAGUAUGAAUCUUCUAGGGUAAUGAUUUGGAAGAUCCAAUAUCAAAAGUUGUAGGGUUGAAAAAUGAGAGACAUGAGGUAUCAGAUUCAAAUUCAAAUGGAGAUAAAAACACUAGAUUGUUUUAAAAAAAUCUGUCCCAAAUAUUCGUAAACAAAGUUAUCUAAUAUCUAUAUGGUAGGAAUUAGUCAAAUAGUGCAAGAUUGAUAUAAGGGGGAAAAAAAAAUUUAGUAUUUAAAUUAAAUAUAUGGUUAAUGGUAAUAAUGGAUGGAUAUUUAAUUGGUUGACUAACUCUAUAUGUAUAGACUAUAUAUAACAAGAUGAAGUUAAUCUUUUGAUAGUUUGGUGAGAUAAUAAAGGAGAUGGUAGCAACUAUAAAGAACUGUUAUUUUUGGUGGACAACGUGGACAUGGCAUUAUAUUAUUUUAUUUUAUUUGGUAUGGGUUUGGUGAGAAAAAUAUGAUAAUUAUUUCAUAAUUUUAAUAUAAAUAUGAUUUUAAAAAAUUAAGUGCUCAACAUGACACUUAUAUUGCACUUUGACCAUCAAUAUAGGUGUUUUUUUUUUCCUUCAUUACAUAGCACAGAAACAAUGAGAAUAUAAUGAAAUUAAAGAUAAAGAAAAUAAUGAUAAUGAAAUAAUGACAGUGACAAUAAUAAUUACUAUGAUGAUAAUGAUAAUCAUCAUUAUGAUACAAUGCCACUUCCAUUAACUCAAUGUGAUUACAGGUUGGAUGGAAAUUGAUGUUUACUUUUUUGGGCAUAAUUAGCUUGAUAUACACAAAUAGAUACGUAAAUUUGUAUAAAAUUAAACAAGUAAUACAUUCUACAUGACAUAAUAUACAUAGGAUGCAAAUUGUCACAUAAAGUGUCACGUUAAAAUAUGUGAGUCUACUUGAUUAACUUUAUACAACUUUAAAUGUCUAUAAGGCACAUUUAGGUAUUAUGAAGAUGACCCUUAACUUGGCUUCAGCAGACAACUAUGCCAUCCAACUUUGAGUGUGUACAAGUACAAAAUUGAACAAGUAGACAGGUGUCCUACGUGGCAUAAUACACGUAGUACGCCAUGUAGGACACAAAAUUGCCAUGUAAGUGUCAUGUGUCUAUUUGUUCAAUUUUAUACAAGUUUAAGUGCCUACUUGUGCACACUCAAAGUUAAAGAUCAUAGUUGUUAGCUGACGUCAAGUUAAAGGUCAUGUUUAUAUAUUAUGCCUUUUUUUCUCCCUUUAUAUAAUUGAGAAAUUUGCAACUCAUAAUUCAAAACUCAAUAGAUAAAAGAUACCACUCCUAUAUAUUUCUUCAUUUAGAUAUCAAGUUUUUAUCUAAACUCCGUGCCGAGUCAAAACCCAGAUAAACAAAUUGCACCAGAAGGAGUAUAAUUCAACUGAAACAAGGAAAGAAUAUAAAAGAGAAAAGAUAGUGUGAAACGGAUUUCUUAAGAACUCAAUUGAACAGAAAACACUGCACAGGGCAGGUCCAAAUCUAAAUACAAGAUGUAUUAUAAACACAGCAGAACUAGACGAUAGCAUAGCCGAUACAAGACAAUGUCUCGUUGGCAUCGCCUUAGGCAGCUCGAUACGAGAAUGCUCUUUCUACUUUAAGAGUUAAGAAAAGAAAACCAAGAGCGGAGAAGCAAAGGGCAACGAACAUAAUCACUAGCAUUGUCUGCAACGAGAUGUAGGGGGCGAGGAAAAAGACUAUGGCAAUUGCAAAGCUCUGCCAAAGCUUAAGUUGGGCAAAUGCUCCUUCCUGUUAAGCACCAAAUGAUUAGAUGUUCAGUGUAAAGAAAACGAUCAUCCAACGAAAGACUGGCAUAAUAUUUGAAGUAACAGAACGGAAUAAGACGCCUCUAGAUAGAAUUCAGCACAUUAUUAACAUGAAUCUUGAACAACAGUGAUGUUUAUACCAUUUUGUUUGGGUAAACCUUAAAUGAGAAUUUAUGGUGAACACAUUAUGUUUCUCUAUUUGAGGAGAUUUCCAUUAAACUACAUUCAAGCAUAUAUCAUUGCUAAACGCCAAAUGUAAGAUCAUGUUUUUUUUACCUCCAUUUAACAUAUUGAACCGUAUGAUCAUCUCAUCUAAAAACUUAAGUUGUUAGAGAGAGCACACUUAGAUUUACUUAAUUAUUUAUUCAACUCAUAGUGUGCUCUCUCUAAAUGUGUAUUUACUUAAUUAUGUCUUCACCCGGUUCUUUUUUCAUGGCCAAGUACAUGGAAAUGCUUUUUAUAACUAGUGGCAGCGAGACUCGAACCCAAUACCUUUCUCUACUUUGAUAUCGUGUUGAAUUGUAUAAAUAUGUCCUAUAAAAGCUUAAGCUAGUAGUGAGAGCACAGCAUUAUUUACUUAAUUAUAUCUACAGAAAAAACUCGAUGCACUUAAAGCUCCCGCUAUGCAUGGGGUCUAGGGAAGGGCCGAACCACAAGGGUUUAUUGUAUGCAGUCUUACCCUACUAUUUCCACGGCUUGAACAGGUGACCUCCUAGCCACAUGGCAACAACUUGACCAGUACUUUAUCAUAUCUACAAUAAAGUAAACAAUAUGCUUCAGCAGUAGAGCCUUCAGACACGUCUGCAUUUAACAAGGGGUCGAGGUCGGGGUCACGAUCUUUCUAACCUACUUCACUUGACCUAGUCAGAACAUGCCUUGCCACACUGUCUAAGCCAUUUUUGUACUAGUUUCUACAUAAUUAAAAUGAAAGAAAAAUAGAAGGGAUCAUCACGUCUUUUCCUGGUCUGCCAAAAUCAAGACCUAUAUCAGUUAACAAGAUUUUGAAUCCCCAUAAAGACAAUGUCCAGGCCACCUUCCUUCCCUAUAGUUUUUAUGUCGACUAGCAUUUCAGGUGAUUGAAGCUUAAACACCACCGGCAACCUUUUGCCACUCAAUGUUAUGCAUGAAUUCUUCGGUGAUGACUAUGAGAUUUGAAUUUCUUUGAUGGAAGAACUCACCCUGGCCCCUGGGCAGUCUAGUCUAUGUAACUUAGCACAGCGACUUAUAACAGCUAUCUUUAUUUGUCGUCCGCAUUAUUCUCAUGACCACUUUUAAUUUCAUAUGGAUCCUUAUAGCUUUGAAUCAGCGGAAAACUUAAAAACGCGGUUAGAGGGAAUCAUACAAUUUUGUACUAUGAUGGUAAAGGCUUUUCAACUUUUAUCAACCACCCUAAGUAUUAUUUUGUACUAUUUUCAGAGAAGACAAAUGUAGGGAAAAGUUGGCAAAUUAGUACCAGAUCAUCCUUGAAGAGUAUCCCGAGCAAUGCACUUAGCUGGGUAUUCAAGACUCCAUCACCUAUGCCCCACAAGGCUGCAACGAGAAGUGGAUAUAGUAUGCCGAGAGCUCCAGCAGUCACACUACAAUAGAGGAAGUACAAUAAGAUUUCAAGUACCAGUGUCAACUUCUUCCAAAAAGUAACAAGGGAACAUUACACGAAGCAAACCUGUGAGCCAGUAGAAUCCAUACCAAUACAGCACCCUGAACUAAAGCUCCACCCGAGACAAUUAUUGAGAUAGAUGAGAGACCAAAGGUGAAAUGACCAGCCACUAGAGAACACUGAGACAAUGACCACCCAAUGAUACAAUAGAAUAACUAUCACAGCAUUAUAUCAGAUAAGUUCAAAUUCUGCCUGGGUACUACUAUCAAAUCUAACAAACCCACAGUUCUAUAGAGAAUGUGCAUGCAGAGUUACAAAUUUUGAAGUAAAUUUGAAAAAGCUUACUGUAAUAAGUAAUGUCUAAGAUUUGCAUAAACCUAUUUGAAAGCAUUACAAAAUAUAGCUAUGAUAGAAUAUCUAAAAACUGUAUAGUUUUAUGACAAACUAGAUAAAAUUAGUGAGCAACCAAAACCAAUGCAGCAAACAUUGCAGAGGUAGUAUGUCAAUCCAUUGGAUUAGGGUCAUUUUUUGUCUUAAGUUCUAAAUUUCUUCUUUUUUUUUGAUAGGUAAAUAAUUUUAUCAGUCGUGGGAAAAUCUCCAUACUCGGGCAGUAUACCUAAAUAUGAAUAAUUUUUAUUCCAGACACAGUAAAAUUCAGGCAGGUAUCAAGAUUAUGUAUGAGUUCAGAACUUCCUGUAAUUGUGUUAAUGGAAAAGUAUAUAUCUGGAGCUGCCACAAUCUAGAGUACCUACACUUUCUCUCGAUUAGCAAAGGUCGAUUUAAUAGAAAACAUGUAUUGUGCCUUUAUAUUAGUCAUGUUAUUAUUUUCUGUAUAUACAGUUUAAACUAAUGUGAUUUCUUCAUAAGUUUAAGAGAGAACAUGUUUACAGUUAUGUAGGAUGUUUUCACAAGGGAAGGAACAGAAAUGGCUAUGUUGUGCGAUCAUAGUCAUAUUAAAGUUACUUACUAAUCGUCCAAAUAAGUUGUCAUUGAACUGUUAUAAUAAUAUUUGAAGAUUUUUCAAUGUUUACGAACAUGAGCAAACGCUCUUUGACUCUUCUUUUUAUAUUCACUGGGCUCACGUGAAUAAUUGAUUUACACAGUUCCUUCAGUCACGCUGAGAAAACUAAUACUAUAUAGGGAAUAAUUGUAACAAGAUAUUAGUUGCACUUAAGUAAAAGCUCUCUGUCAUCCACAUCAGUUUUUACUCUCAAUACAAAGUAACUCAAGAACAGUAUUCUAGUUAAAAUUCUAUCAAACAUAAUAGAUAAUAAAUUGCACUUUGAUUACAACAUAAUUUGCCACCAAUUAGCACUAUACAGUAGUUAUAUAUUUCCCAGACACAAGAUCUUUGUAUCUUAAUGACUUAAAUGCACCUAAAAUACAGCUAGAGUAGAUUGUUUGCAAUGACUAUUUAAUGGAUGAUCUGUUACUUGGGUUAGUUUUCAAUCCAACGCCACUACGCUUCUAUCCCUCAAGAUUAUCAAUUACUCUCUCAGACCGUAGUACAUUCAUUACUAUAACUACCUUAGUAUAAAUAAAAAUGCAACAAAAAAUUAUAAUUAAAGGCGUACAAAAGACUAGAAACACAACAAAAGAGAAUGUGAAAAGGACAAAUUUACUGCUCUAGUUUCCUCAUAGAAGACUGAAGAACAUACCACAACGGUGGCAAACAUGUCAAUAGCAUGCCAUCCAGUACCAUAAAGAGUAAAAGCAGUUUGCUCAAAGAAACACAGUCAAACUCCAAAACGAGUCAACCUAUGACUCGUUAUGGGCUGCCUUUAGGGGCAAAAAGAAAGGGCAGAAGCAUUUGGCAGGGGGUUGUUGAUAGGUGCAAGAAUAAGCUCACUCCAUGGAAAAAGCAAUACCUAUCUUUUGGGAGCUGGUCGAUUCUUACUAACAGUACCUUGGAUGGGAUUCCUACAUACAAUAUCUCUUAAUUCAGUAUGACUACAACAGUUGAAAGGAAAUUAGACUCUAUAAGGAGAAACUUCCAAUGGGUUGGGAACUCAAACUGAAAAAGGACUCAUCUGAUCAAGAGGCAAACAGUUACUAAAGAAAAAAAGGAUGGUGGACUGCGGGUAAGGAAUCUGAAAAUGCAUAAUAAAAUACUUUUUUAAUGGCUCUAGAGAUAUAGUAAGGAAAGUGAUGAGAUUUGGCAGCAAGUUUUGGAUGCUAUAUAUGGUGCAAAGUUACAAAAUCCUUCACAAUUGAAAAGCUGUGGGGAAAUCUGGAAGAUGAUUAGUGAUUGAUGGGAUGAAUUUCUACCGGUCACUAGAUUAGAGGUGGGAAAUGGUAGGAGGAUUAGAUUUUGGAUGGACACUUGGUGUGGAAAUGAGAGCUUCAAAAGCAGGUUUCCGGUCUUGUUCAACAGUGCUUUGAAUAAAGAGGGUUAUCUUGUAGAAUUUAAUUCAGCAACUGAAUGGAGUGUUACUUUUAGAAGAAAUCUAAAUGAUUGGGAAAUAGACAGUUUUUGCCAACUACUACCUACAACAAUUGAAUUCAUGUUCAAUAGAACAAGACAGAGCAGACAGGUUAGUUUGGGUUAACAGUAAGGAUAAGGUAUUCUCGGUUAAUAACUGCUACAAAAUGUUGUUGCAACAGUUUAGUCCCUCACUGGCCUGGAAGAUGAUUUGGGAAACCAAAUCACCUGUGAAAGCAGCUUCUUUUGGUUGGCUAGCAGCUAGGGAUGUUUGUCAAAUACAGAUCAAAUUAAGGAGAGAUUUUUCCUUGUGUAGCAAAUGCUAUUUCUGCAAUUCAUAGGAAACCACUGAACAUCUUCCCUUGCAUUGCAGAUUUUCAAGACAAUGCAGGGAAAUUUUCUUUAGCAUAAUGGGCGUAUCUUUGGUGUUACCAGAGAAAAUUAGUAGCUUGUUGGUACUCUUUAAAUAAAAUCCUUACUUAACAAAAAAAUGAAGCGGUUGAAUUAGUCUAUUACUGAUUUUGCAUACUUACAAUCGCAUCAAAAACCCCAUAUACGGCCAUUGCACCACCAACACCACUCUCUCCCAUCGUAGGCUGAACGAUAUACUUUGUGAAUUCAGCCCUGAAACACAUUGUAAAUCAAAAUACAGCAGAAGAAGCUCCAAACUCUACUAUAAUGAACUAUUAGAAGCAUCAUUUACCAUACAAAUGCUUGUUGUAAACCUGAAUAUGCAAUAAGAGGGAUGAUCAAAAGCAUUCUUAUGUCUUGUAAAAGGGUAAUGAUAGACUUGAGCAAAGUUGCCACAGAAGAAACGGAACUAGCGGAGGAGUCUUGCUGUCUUGCCUCCUCUUUACCAGCUCUCUUACUUAAGAAGCACAUCAAAACGGCACCAAGGGUUACGGUACAAACAAAAACCAAGAAAAGUACAGUUGUUCCACUAGUGCUUCCUCCCUGUAGCAUCAGAAAACUAGCAAAUCUUAGUGAAAGACAAAAAAGAUCUUCAACAGUUGAGCAUUUAAUCUCAGUAGAUGCUUACCUCUUCGUCUCUCAUCAAAGCAAGAGUGAUAAGAUUUCCGACAAACUGCAGGAUGAUGAAAGUUAUGUGCAUGGAAAUAUCAUGUGAGUAGAAAUAUAUAUUAAGAAGCUUUACUUGCAAAGUUCAUAAAAGGUACCUGAUGACUUGCAAAUAUUCCCCAGAAUACACCAUUGAAUUUACCAAUUAUAACUGCUUCAUUUAAGAUAUGAUCAUUUGCAUGACUGCGUGCUGCGGAAGUAAGAUAUGUUCCCUAACCACAAAUGACAAGAUUAAGGUUAUUGCUGAAGCCAAAAACAAAGUUCAACUCCUAAAAGAAAGUCAUACCUGCCCAACCCAUAUUAUGGAGGCAGCAAAACCAAGGUAUAAAGAAGCUGGGACCAUGGUAUACCUACAAGAUAAUUUAAUCAGUUGCUGACAAUUGAAAUUCACGAACAUCCUAAACAAACAUGUAUCAAGAAAAAAAAACACCCAAAACCUUCCAAAGUGUUAGCAUUAAGAAAGAAAGCAUAAUCCAUAAAAGAUGGGUAGUAGAAAAGGAAAACAGGAAAAUUGUGUAAAUGGACUAAAUUUAUAUCUAUGUUUGAUGCAGGAAAGAUAAGUACGUGCCAAAUAACUGAAACACAAUUUUAACAUAAUUAAUUUUGAAUAAUUAUAUUUUAAAAUCUCACAGGAAUGAGGCAAGAAUUAAACUCAUAUUGUAAAAUCAAGAUGAGUGAACUUUUAAAAAUGUUCUGAUCAUUUAUGAGGAAUGUUAAAGGUCAUUGACUAAUUUCCUUAGCAUUAGGCCCAUUACGAGCCCAAAAUAAGAUAUACAUAGUCUAUAGCUCAUUUAUAUCUUUUCAAAUAAAGUAUAACUUAGUCAUAUCCUAGAAAAUCAAGAGAACUCGCGUCUCAUGGUAAAAAUACAGGAAUAUACAUGAAAAGAGAAGAAUUUACGGAAAGUAAAAUCUAUACUGGAAGUGCAACCAGACUAAUGUACCAUUAAGUCCCAGAUGUAAGCAUAUGAUUCACCUAGCACCUUCACUGCCCUUGGAAAUUAGUAUUUUCCAAAGUACCAAGCUCCCAAAUUAAAUUUAUGAGAAAUGAAGAAAGGCAAGAGUAAUUGUAGGAUGCUAUGUCUAUUAUCCUGAAACAUUCAUUUUCAGAACACGACUUAGUCGCUGCUUCUAUGUCUCAAAUAGAAGAAAUAGUUGUCUAACAGUGCAUCAAAUCAUGUUAAAUGUUGUCACUUUGGACCACAUGAACCAAGCAUAUCUUUUGUCUGGUACAUAAGUAAAGAAAAGAAGGCUCUAUGCCUGAUUCGAACUAAACUUGAGGGAAAAGAAGUCAUAGAAAAUUUCCCCUAGGAAAUUAAAUCUUAGAGCUAUCAAUGGAAAAACUUUAGUCAUACAACACUCUGAGUUCUAAGAUCAAGAUAGAAUUGUUCAAGAAAUCUCAAAGAUGCAAUACAGAUACUACCCAUUUAAAUAAUAUUGACUUUAGUUCCUUUUCUUUUUUGAUAAGGAACAUUGACUUUAAUUGUUAUGGAACAACAAAACAGCUCCCAACUUGGUUCUGAUGAUUUCUUCAAGUGAAAGGUAAGGAGGAACAGCAGAGUUAUCCAGAGCCAACUAAAAGUCAUCAUAGUCUUCCAGGGAUACACACAUCUAUCGAGCAUCAUACCCAACUCAAUAAACUCCUUUACAGCCCAUUUGUUGCAGCCACAACAGAAAACGAUGAAUAUUUGAAUAAGCCACUAAAUAAGUCCAGCCACAGCGAUGGAGAAGAUUCAAGCUUUAACUACACUAUAAUGCAUUAGGACUACUAUCAAGUAGAGACAUCUGUAGUCUGUUGUUUAUGGACUGCUUUGUAAAAACAAGCAUUCACAAUAACUGACUAGAGACUAGAGGGCAUCGCCAUCUCUGAUAGAGCAAGCAGACGUUGCUACUGUUAACUGUUUUAGGGGCUUCAGUUAUCAUAUUCAGUUAACCAAUGAGCAAAACAGAUUCAUCCUCAAGCAUUUCUUCAUUUUCUUCCAGAGUCUGACUCUAUGUUUCUAUGGUCUUCCAGUUUGUCUUUCUGGCAUUACCUAGGAGAGGAGAAUUCCGAUGUGACUAAGCAAUAGUCCUUCCUUGACAAGAAUGUGCAUAAAGAUUGAUGGCAAGUUUGCCCUGAUAAUGCUGUUACUAAUUCUAUUAACAUCAAAAGGACGACUAUAACAUAGGUUUGGCUGGCUUCUAUGGUCUUGCAGUUUGUCUUUCUGGCAUAACCUAAUUUUCAUAAAGUGAUUGUUAAACCAGCUAUGUUGUAUGGGGCAGAGUAUUGGACGGUCAAGAACCCGCACAUUCAGAAGAUGAAAAAGAUUAGGAAUGCAGAUAUUCUGGACAAGGUGGGAGUGGGCCCCGUGGUAGACAAGAUGAGAGAGGUGAGACUGAGAUGGUUCGGGUAUGUGAAGAGAAGAUGUCCAGAUGCCCCAAUGAGGAAGUGCGGGAGGUUGGCAAUAUGGAUCUGAGGAGAGGUAGAGGUAGGUCGAAGUAGUACUGGGGAGAGGUGAUUAGACAGGACAUGACACACCCGCUGAGAGGUAGAGGUAGCUCUGUAAUUACUUCAAUAAACUUCUUUGUGGCUAAUGCCACAACCUCACUAGGAGAAAUAUGAAAUCUGAUAGACCUCUAUAUUUAUUCCAAUGGAGUACAAGAUUCCUAUCUCCACUCACAUUAAGGAUCCAUAAGCACACAAACAUUGUUAAACGCAAAUCCAAUUACAAAAGAACUACAAUCACAACUCACUUCAUAAAAUUCGAUCACUACCAACUCAAUAGCCUAAAUCCUAAUCCUUCCCUAUUGGUCAAAGAUUUAAUCUUGGAAAAGCAAAAUGCACUAAACAUAAGAUAACUCAUACCAAUUAGGCAUCAAAUUGGCAGCAACAAACAACCAAUAGCCAGUAGUGCCAAGGAUCAAAGCAUUCUUCGACCCAAGCUUCCGAACCACCAAUGAAGCAAAUAUUGAGCAGAACAUAAAUGACAAAUACAAUAUCCCCAGUGAAAUGGUCCCUAAAUUUCCUUCCUGAAACACAAAAAAGAAAAACUCAAACUCACUAUCACAGUAUCACUUCGUCUAAGCUCGCAAUUGGCCAUAGAUUUUGAAAAUUUAAUCUUUAAACUCUGAUCACUUUUUGGGGCUUCCACUCACAAAACUUCAAACUUUUUCCAAUUAAAAUACACUUCCAAACACAACUUCAAAUUCAAAAAAUCACAACAAAAACUCAAAUUUCAAAAACUAUAGCCAAAUGGGAGCUUAUAAGAGCCAAACAAACUCUAUCCAAAAUCACAAUUCAACACUAAAUAACCCCAAAGACUUCAUUAAAAAUAGAUAAUACACAAAAACCUUACUGUAUUGAUAGUGCUUUCAAGAUUCUGAGCAGCCCCAUAAGCCAAAAAAAUCAACAAAAAAGCAGAGCUCAGAAUAUAAACAUCCCUUUCAUGAUUCACAAUUGAGUUCUCAUUUUUCGAAAUUUCAACAACAAGGGGUGCUUCCUCAUCCAUAGCCAUUGACAAACCAAAAAAAUAUCAAGAUCAACAAACUUACAACAAAAUAACCACAACCCACCAACAAAUUUAUGUACACAAAUAUAUAUAUACAAAAAAAAAAUCUUUUUUUUGUCAAAAGAAAGAGAAAUUGAGUGACACCAUUUGCCGGCAAAAGGAACUAUAAAGAAAAGUACAUAUAGAAAAAGCUUAAGCUACUGAAGAGAACUGAUGAAUAUGACAAUAACAAAACUUCAGCGGCCAUAGAUUAAUGUUUGUUGAGAAAUUUUUAGUAUAAUAUUUUUUUAAUUUUUGGACAAAUCAAGAUUCUUUUUUUUUCCAUAGAAACAGACAAAAAGAUUUGAUUUUUAUUUAAAGUAAAGCAACUUUUAGGAAUAAAAAAUUAGCACAUGAACCAUGAUUACUGAUACCCGAUUUUUUACGUGCCAAUCGAACACUCUAACUUACAAAAUAAUCACUUAUGUAUUAUAUCAGCGUAAGAUAUACACGAGAUAUAAUAGGAAUAAAUUGAAAUGUUUUGUUGUCAUUUGAAAUUAAGUUAAAGUGUUUAGAUGUACAUUUUCAAAAUUAAAAUAAUAAAUUAUCAAUUGAGACCAAAUUUGAGUGCGUAAUAUUAUGCAAAAAAAAAAUUAUGUUCAAAACUAAAAUAAGUCUUUUUUUCUUUAUUAAAUGUUGUGUUAAGCAGUGAAGAUGCAACUAUUUAGCGAUAGGUUCAUCUGAAUUGAGUAUUUUCCAUGUGAAACAUUUAUAUGUGAAAGUUUAUUAGAAAUAAAAAGUAGAUUCAAACACAUAUAAAAUACAAUAGAUUCAAUUUUAAAGAUUAAACUCAUAAAAAUUAAAUUCUGAAUUCAUCGUCGAGUUAAACUACGACGAAGAAAGUAAAAUAGUAGAAGUACUACACUACAUGUUGGAUAAAGUUUUAUUGGCACUUAAUAUUUAUAUCAAAUAAUACUUUAUUGUCUUUACAAAAUUAAGUCAUAAUUUAAGAUAAAAACAUGUACUUAUCAUUGCAUGAUAAAUGGGGUUAAUACCUCAUAUGGUCACUCACAUGGUGACUUUUUAGUGAAAAUUAAAAGUUGAGUGACUUUCUGAGGUAAAAGUGGAUAGUUGAGUGACUAUCUGAGGUAUUAACCCUGAUAAAUUUUUACUAAUAAGCCAAAGGCUAUUUGAACUGCUAAUGAAGCUAUUAAUUAAAAAGCACUUAUAAUAUUCAUGAAUAUUAUAAUGAAAUUUUCAUAUUAUCAAAUAUAGUUUUAAAAAUUAUAUCUAAUUAGCUUUUAAAUUAUUUGCUGGCCUAGAAAUUUUUUAAUGAAUAGCUCCAAAAACAGAAAUUAAAUUUAUUCCCAGUUAGAAUAGAGAAGUGUCUCUCUAAAAUUGAAAAAAUAGUACUUAUACACAACAAUUUGAUAAUUAUUUGUUACAGACUAUCAAAGAUUUAACGAAAUGGUAAGUACUCAUAGGUUUCGGAUUCGAGCCUUGUUUGCAGAGUUACUUUUAGUAGGAAGCGUUUCGUCUCCCUAAGAAUAGUACUAGUAAUACUAGUGGUAUGAAAGCAAAAGCAGAUACGGUGCUCCAAACUACCACCAAGCAUGUCCAGAAAGCGAGACAAUGCUUAACUAAGGAGAAUAAUAGCCUGCAUCAACAAAUAAAAACCAAUUUAUUUCUAUUUAAAUUAACUAGAUAUACAAAUCAGGUCGUUAGUGAAAUCCUUAAAAAUCAAUGUUGAAAACAAGAAGUAUUGAGUUAAUACUAUCAUUUUUCGCAAGUUUCACAUCUCAACUAUCAGUUGUUCCAUUUUUCUACUGGAACUAUCAUCAUCUAUGUAUUAAAAUACACCUUGAAACCAAUAAGGCCAACUAUCAGUUGUUCCUUUUCCUACCAGAACUGUCACCAUCUACUCAAUUAGAGUGUAAAACUCGUAAAAAAGUGAUAGUUCAGAUGUGUUUCGACCAUUAUGUCCAUUUAAAGCCCUUUUUAUUAGUGAGAAUGAAAAGCAAUUCAAUUAUUUAAGUAAACAACACAAUAUGAUUAUAUGAAAUCAAGGAUAUCCAUUUAUGAUAUCUUGUAUACUAGUAGACUUGUGGGGUGAAAGGGAAUCAAGGAAGGAGUAAUCAAUAAACUAUAGAGUUCAUGUAAUAGGCAUCGUCAGUUCAAACAAUUUUACACCAUCAGGUCAUCUGUAUUUAUUGUAAAUAUCCUUUAGAUGACUUGAGAGUGUAAACAGUUAUUUACAUCGACGUGUACAAAACUUAAACUAUAAACUAUAUAAAGGUACAAAUCAAUUGGCAAAAAGAAAUGAAAGCUUCAAAGUCCAAACCUUAGUCACUAUGGCCCUUAGGAGAUGAUCAGGAAUCGAAUUCUCGAGGGUAUACAUGGACCUUGAACCCCUCAUCUUCUUGAAUUGAGAUAAUCGAGUUCACAGAAGAACGGCUGCACCAGUGUAGCUCAACACUGUGUAGCGUUGAAACAUCGCCUAAGCAUGAAGGGAACUCCUUAAGUUUCUUACAACUUUGCAGAACAAGAUGCUCAAGGGAAGGUAAGCAAUCAGAUGAGAUGUUCCAUUGUUCAAUGUUCAAAGAGUCUAACUUCAAGAAUCUUAGUUUCAGGAACUCUCCGUCUUUCAUGUCCCAUUGCACACCCUCAAAGGCUCGGGCAAGUAGUUUGAGAACCUCAAGGUGUGGUAAGCUACCAAUUCUUGAAAUUUCAGUCCAUGGUAGCUGAAACUUUGGCAAUGUCAGUCUUUUGAGAUUUGAGGGGAAGUUGAACUUACAAGAAGAAAAUGACUGACCAUAGUGUAAUAUCUUGAGUGAUUCAAGUCGACUCACACACUCCAGUGAUGGAAAAUGACAGCAGUCCUCCGAGUCAACUGAUAUGCAUCUCAAUUUCCGAAGAUUAGGUAACCUUCUCAUUACCUCAUUAGGAUCCAUGGCAUGAUCUUUGUUAUAGAUGAGGGCCGGAGUGGAAAUGGUUUGCAGGUUUUCUAGUUGAAUCAAAUUCCAUCCAUCACAGCCAAAAACAGCACGUGCAUCGACAUGAAGAUGUCUCAGUCUUGAAAGUGUGUAUGGCAAACAAACUUCACCUCUCAAGGCUUUCAGAAGAAAUGUUUCAAGGUACAAGAGUUUCCAACAUUAAUGCAUCCCAAAUCCAACACGCGAAGUAAUCUAAAACCGAGACAUAUAGGAGAGAUAUCAUAUGGUUUUGUCAAGGAUUUGUCAUUAAUGUCAAAGAACAACAAAGAACGAAGCUGUGGUCCUGAUGGCCUAGACUUGACAAGAAAACUCUCCCUUUGUGAAUAGAUGCAUAACCUACGUUGAGUAUGUCUGGUAUACAGUUCUUCAGGAGAUAGAGAGUAUGUUGACUCCAAAAUAUCGUCUAGAUCAUCACAAAGAGUGUGCUUGUCCUCCUUAUAUAUAAGCUCAAAAAAGUUCUCUUCUUCAGCUUUUCUCUUGCAAUAUUCAAGCAACAGAUCAUGAACAUGACAGACUUUAACGGAGCCAUUCGAUCUCUUUUUAGCAACCAUUACCAGGCUUCUUCCUAUCAAGUCCGUUAAGUAGUCCUCUGCUACAUCCUCAAAGCUCUUGCCAUCUAUUUGUGGAACAAACUCUUCCGCCAUCCACAACUGUACCAAUUUCUUGACAGAUAUGUGAGGAUGCUUUAGAAAUUUACCUAAUUAAAGGAAGCAUGGUUUUAAAUGAUCAGGCAAAUGCUUAUAGCUCAACUCCAAAAUGACUGAGCAUUGAUUGGGAUCAUCAACAAUAUAUGUACUUAUGCUCUCCGCGACUUCAUUCCACCAAGAUUCUUUCUUUUCUGUCUUAGCCAGAAGCCCAGCUACCAUGUAACAGCAAGAGGAAGUCCUUGACAACAUUCUGCAAUUUGCAUUCCAGGUUCCUUUAGAUUUCGGGGGCAGCAAUCUGUUGCAAACACCUUCUUCUGUAAUAACUCCCAACUUUCUUCAACAUUGAAAUGCCGAAGAGGAGUAGGAUGAUUGUCAGGCUUCGUAUCAGAUUCAAUGUAUGAAGCCAAACCUUGCAGUUGAGUUGUGACCAUUAUUCUACUACCAUUGUCAUCGUCUAUAAAUGACCUCUGCAAGUCAUCCCAAGCCUUGAUAUCCCAAAGAUCAUCAACGACAAUUAGGUACCUCUUCCUCUUUAACUUUCUACACAACAGUUCAGCUAAAUCCGCGUCAUCCUUCAUCUUAGUCACUUCAUCAACUUCCUCGAGAACUUGGGACAACAUCUCCAAGAGCAACUCUUUCUUUUUAUAUACUUUAGAAACAUAACACCAUGCACAUUUGUCAAAGUGAUUGAACCUUUUCAUCAUUGAACACUUUUUUUGCAGUAGUCGUCUUGCCAAGUCCAGGCAUGCCAACAAUUGAAAUCACAUCACGCUCUGUCAUCCUUCUGGCAAGGCCAUCAAUGAUAUUCUCUACCACAUCAGUGAAACCCACCACUACAUCAUCGUGGAACGUUGGAGCAUUAGUUCGUGAUAAUUCACAGGUGGAAACCACUCGAACAUCACAAAUUGUUUCAAAUGUUAAUGUUCUAGAUAUGUCACUGAACUCUGCCUGAAUCACCUUAAGUUGUUCUACAACAUCAGACAUCUCAACCACACUACACCAGAUGUUUUGGUCCCCAACCAAAAAUGAGUCAAUAUAUAGCAUAUUCCGCCUCAUAGGCCUCUUGCAUAACACGUGCCUUCAGAUGCUCAUUGUUCUGCUUGAUAACAUCCCAGAGAUUCUUCUUCAGAUACUCUAACGCGUCAUGCACUCUUGCAACAUGAUGUUUGGGAAAAGGAAUGCGAUCAGCUUUAUGGAGGAGGAGUUCUUUCAAAUUUCCUAAAAAGGAAUUGAAAAGGCCUAUGUCUCUUGCCACUCUCUUCAUGAUUCUAGUUCUUUCUAGAUAAACAGAAGUGGCUAACUCCAUUUUGUUCAGCAUGUCUUCGUUCGAUGCCUUAUUACUGAGUGACAUAAUAAGUGAUCCAACCAUCGACAAUGUAACCCUCCCUUGUGUGAUAAAAACAUUUAAUUCACUUCCAAGAGAACGACAGUCGUCUGGUGCCUUGCAGAAACACUACUUCCUCAUAAAGAAUUUGAAUUCGAUCCUCUUUACCAACUCAGGAUGGGCUAUUAAUGCAAUGUGUAUCAGGAUCAACUUUACCAACUCAGGAUAUUGCUCAGGAAUAUCUUUCAGAAACAUCAAGUACUCAACAAGGCCAUUGAUUUUCCAGGACACAAUCAGCAAAUUCCACCACAAAUUUGUCACAAAAAUGUGAAUCAGAACAUUUUGAGCUUAAAACAGUUGCAUAAACUUGUGUAACUUCUGCUUUCGAAUCAUUAACCUUUUCCGAGGCAUUAGAAACCAGUAGAGCCAUGUGGAUAGGCACGUUUCCGUCUAUACUCUUAACAUAAAGAGAUUGAAAAUCUGAUUCUGCAUUCUGCACCAGAGUUUCUACAUGCAUCAACAAUCCUGAGAAGCCUUAAAUCCGCUUUAAGGGUCCGGAUUUGAUCCUUCGUUGAAGGAGUUGAGUCUUCAUGACUGUCUAAACAAUCCAGACAUUUCAAGAGAUUGUUAACAACACUAAAGUCCAUCCCUUCUGUCCUAUACAACAAAAAUGAAAAAAUCAGCCCAUAAACGAAAUCUCCCAAGAAACUGUGACUAGUAUUUAGUAAAAAUACAAGAAGAAGAAGAACCAAACACUUAUCAUGAUUUAAGCUCUGCUCAUCUCUGUCACCCAAACUAUAAUCCAAAAUCGAUAUCAUGUAAUGUAUUAGCAUUUUCUUGUUUUAAAUACCGGUAGUGUUCAGACCAGCUUGGGCCUUGGGGCAUGUCACGAGGUACCUAUUAUCUCUCACCAGCACAGAUACCAAGUAACUUUGCAUACUGAGACCUUGGUAGAUGAGAAGAAAUCACUUAGCGUUUUUCGCCUUGCUAUGAUUUGAACCUGAAACUCAUGAUUCUCGUCCUACUUCAUUAACCACACCAUUGAGUGUUAGGUAAAUAUUUAAUCACUAAUGUCACCAUUCCAUUUACAUAACAAUGAAGACCUCUUUUUAAAAAAAUUGAUAAAUCAUAGCAUACGGAUGAAAAGGAAAAUGCACCCGUGCAGAGGCGGAUUUGGCCUUUUGGUUAUGGGUUCAUCUGAAUCUAUGACUUCGAAAAACGAAGUACAAAUAUACACAUAGAAAUUACUAAAAUCUCAAUAAAUUUUAGAUUUUGAACCCAUACUUUUAACAGUACAACAAGUUCUGAGAAUCUUAAAAAAACUCAUUAAGUUUAAAUCAUGAAUCCACCUCUGUCAGUACCCACCAUUCAUAAAUCAUUAUUUUUUCAAAAAAUACUAAACGAGGCAAGACAACGCAACUUCUUGUCAAUUGAGCAGAUUCACAUAAGAAGUAUUAAACUUUAUAUUGCACGUGUAAUUUGUCAAUAGUGACAUGUUAUACUAAUACCUAACAAUACACUUCAACCUAAUAAAAAGAAUGGUUUGGUUCUCCAACAUUUGGUCCAAAAGUGAAAAAACACACUUGACCUGGGAAUGUAUUAUUUUCACUAUUAUCGCAAAAAUGUAAUUGCCAAAGAAAAAAUAUAUGAGGAUGAGGAAAACAUGGAACCAGCAGGGAAUAAAGUAGGCAACGUCUUAUACUUGAGGAAAAAAGGAAGUUGGAACACAACAGCAACUGUAGUUAUUUGCUACGACAAAAAGUAUAUCAAGAUCAAAUCGCCUGACGAAAAUUUCAACCCUCUCCAUACAGUCGGAAAUGUCCUAGCCAAGAAUUGCUACUCUUGAGCUCAUAAUACCCACAUAACCAAUCUCUGAUACAUAUUAAGGUAAAAUGCAACAAAUUGAAUUUCUUGAACCAAAAUGCCGAGGAUGCAAGACUUGAGUAUAAGCCACUGCACGACUCAUCAGUUACUAACCCUCAUUCACCGCC
rnacentral:lncRNA from 1 species